AUUGAACGCUGGCGGCAGGCCUAACACAUGCAAGUCGAGCGGUAACAGAAAGAAGCUUGCUUCUUUGCUGACGAGCGGCGGACGGGUGAGUAAUGCUUGGGAACAUGCCUUGAGGUGGGGGACAACAGCUGGAAACGACUGCUAAUACCGCAUAAUGUCUACGGACCAAAGGGGGCUUCGGCUCUCGCCUUUAGAUUGGCCCAAGUGGGAUUAGCUAGUUGGUGAGGUAAUGGCUCACCAAGGCGACGAUCCCUAGCUGGUUUGAGAGGAUGAUCAGCCACACUGGGACUGAGACACGGCCCAGACUCCUACGGGAGGCAGCAGUGGGGAAUAUUGCACAAUGGGCGCAAGCCUGAUGCAGCCAUGCCGCGUGUGUGAAGAAGGCCUUCGGGUUGUAAAGCACUUUCAGUCAGGAGGAAAGGUUAGUAGUUAAUACCUGCUAGCUGUGACGUUACUGACAGAAGAAGCACCGGCUAACUCCGUG
rnacentral:rRNA from 1 species